UUCAAGCCGAUAGUGUUGUUCAAAUGUUACAACGGAGCAUUAAAUAACUACACAAUCUGGAUUGGUUCAAAUUCUAUGAAAAGACACUAGGACAAGAGUUUCAAUGUGGUCAACUUGUCCAGGAACCUUAUGGUAAGUUUAACCUUAUGGUAAAUUGAGUCCUUGUUAGAUGUUAAACUAGGACGCCAGAUGACAAUGAAAACAGAUGGUGUUCUAUGCAUUUAUAUUGUGACACUUAGCUGCUGUGGGGUUUUCCAUUAUUUUCACUCAAUCUCCACAUAUGCAGAAUUUAAAGUCAUAAUCACUUUCCUGUGACCAAAUAAUGUAAAGUGUAUAUUUCAUUCCAGCAAUUCAAGAGCAAAUAAAAGUAGUUUCAAUAUAUUUGACCAUAUACAGGUGACAAGGCUGUACUAUUUAUUAGGACUAUUGUAUCUGUAUGUAGCAGAUCGUAUCUGCCCUCUGGUUUCAAUGUGGAGCCAGGAAGGAGACUAAUUUCUGCAUUAUACUGCCUCCUUGUGAAAGUGUAUCUUUACACUGAUAUCAAAUGCUCUAUAUUGAUAUUCUCUACAACUAUUAUGCCCAUUAAUUAUAACACUGAACUCAUGGCAAUGCAUCCUUAAGUACAGCGAACAUGGUGCAAAUAAGACAUGAACAGAACCGGAGGUGAUUUGGUUUAUACCUUUAUUAGAUGUUAAAAAAACUCCACAAUGAAAAAAAUUAUUUACUCGGGGUGUACAUGAAAUUAGAACAAUACAACCACUUGACACAGUUGGGAGAAGGAUGAGGGAGUAAGGUAUGGGAUGAGCUGGGAUGGGAGGGUGUCAUCUAGUGGAAAUGAAGAGACAAGGAAAAGUCUGGUUUUCAGUGCUGGAUUUGCUAUGUUCUUCAGACCACAGUACAAUCAAAACUCAAAUUUGUUAAACCUUUUCAAUGUAGUUUCAAAUGCAUACUCUCACUUGAUGCAUUUCUCGCCAAACUCUUUUCUUCUCAAUAUAUAAACAAAACCUUACCAUGGAAGAACAUAAAGGAAAAUACAUGGGAGUUUGAAGGAAAUGCAUCCAUUUAAGUGCAUUGUGAUUCAGUCUCAAAUCCACACUCACAAUUUUUCUAUUUUUAUUAUCACUUUACCCUCACCUGUACUUAUUUUAUAUAAUUAAAACCGGUUUUGUUUUAUUUAUUCCACUUAGAGAUGACGUGUGAUGUUGGCAUGCUGCUCUUAUUUGAAAGACACACCAUAACGGUUGGGUCUUUAUUUUUUCAGCUCUCCCCCACUCAAAAAUAACUUUUCAUGCUAAAUGAACAGUGAAUUUCCUCCACAUACACUUAAAUGUUUAAGUUUACAUGCGCCAAGAUAUUGCAUAUGACCGAGGGCCAUGAAAAGGUCAUCCUCACAUUACUUAUGCAAUCUCAAAUUGCUCGGCCAGCUUCAAAAGUUAGCUCUAAAACUAAGUGCUGUACAAUUAACUCUGUACAAAUCUUGGGAUUAAUAAA